AGAGCUUGAUCCUGGCUCAGAAUGAACGCUAGUGGUUAGCUUAACACAUGCAAGUUAAAUAAAUUUAUUUAUAAUAUAAAUUAAUAGCGAACGGGUGAGUAUAAAAUAGAAAUUAGUUUUAAAUUAGUGUUUAAUACAUCAAAAAUUUACUUGAUUUAAAAAAAGUCUAUAUAAGAUUAAGUAGUUGGUAAAAUAAUAGUUUACCAAGCUUACGAUCUUUAGUUGGUUUGUGAAGAUGAACAACCACAUUGGAAUUGAGAUAUGGUCCAAACUUCAUUAGAAGGCAGCAGUGAGGAAUUUUGGGCAAUGGGAUAAAACCUGACCCAGCUAAACCACGUGUGUGAUGAAGGUAAUAAAUCGUAAAGCACUUUGAUCUAAAAAAAUAAUGAUUAAAUUUUUAUUAAAAAGUCCUGGCUAAUUUCGUGCCAGCAGCCGCGGUAAAACGGGAAGGGCUAGCGUUAUUCGGAUUGAUUGGGCGUAAAGGAUACGUAAGUGGAAAAUUAAAUCUUAACUUAAAUUUUAAGGUUUAUUUUUAAAUUAGUUAUUAAAUUAAUUUUCUAGAGUUUAGGGGAAGAUUAUAGAACUUUAGGAGUAACGGUAAAAUGUUUUGAAAUCUAAAAGAAUCUCAAAAGCGCAGGCAAUAAUCUAAACUAAUACUGACACUGAGGUAUUAAAGUGUGGGUAGCAAAAGGGAUUAGAUACCCCUGUAGUCCACACCCUGAACGAUAAGUGUUUAUUUUUGGAAAUUCAGAAAUGUAGCUAACGUGUUUAACACUUCGCCUGGGGAGUACGGCUGCAAAGCUAAAACUCAAAGGAAUUGACGGGGACCUGCACAAGCAGUGGAGCAUGUGGUUUAAAUCGACAAUACGCGCAAAAUCUUACCAAUUUUUGUAUAAUUUUAUUACAGGUGUUGCAUGGCUGUCGUCAGUCCGUGCUGUGAAGCGUGUGGUUUAUUCCAACAAACGGACAAAACUCUUGUAUAUUUUCGAAUAUAAACCGCUGAAGAUAUUUCGGAGGAAGGUGAGAAUGACGUCAAGUCCUCAUGACCCUAAUAAAUUGGGCUACUUUCAUGUGCUACAAUAAUUUUUUCAAAAAGAAGCAAAAAUGCAAGUUUUCGCAAACCUCAAAAAAACUUUUGUUCGGAUUGUUUUCUGAAACUCGAAAACAUAAAGGUGGAAUUGCUAGUAAUCGUAAAUUAGAAUGUUACGGUGAAUUUGUUCUCAGGUCUUGUACACACCGCCCGUCACGCUAUGGGAAUUCAUUUUAUUUGAAAAUUGUAACUUAUAAUUUAUGAUAAAAGAAAGACUGAAGUGAAGUCGUAACAAGGUAGCCGUAGGGGAACCUGUGGCUG
rnacentral:rRNA from 1 species